UACAGAGGCCCCGAGCGUUAGGCGGAAUCACUGGGCUUAAAGCGUGUGUAGGCGGAUGCCUAAGUACCUUGUGAAAUCCCACGGCUUAACCGUGGAAUUGCUGGGUAUACUGGGUGUCUUGAGCCACUCAGGGGCUACCGGAACAAAUGGUGGAGCGGUGAAAUGCGUAGAUAUCAUUUGGAACGCCAAUGGUGAAAACAGGUAGCUGGAGGUGUGCUGACACUGAGGCACGAAAGCCAGGGGAGCAAACGGG
rnacentral:rRNA from 1 species